rnacentral:rRNA from 1 species
GUGGGGAAUAUUGGACAAUGGGCGAAAGCCUGAUCCAGCCAUGCCGCGUGAGUAAUGAAGGCCUUAGGGUUGUAAAGCUCUUUUGUCCGGGAAGAUAAUGACUGUACCGGAAGAAUAAGCCCCGGCUAACUUCGUGCCAGCAGCCGCGGUAAUACGAAGGGGGCUAGCGUUGCUCGGAAUCACUGGGCGUAAAGGGCGCGUAGGCGGACUUUUAAGUCGGAGGUGAAAGCCCAGGGCUCAACCCUGGAAUUGCCUUCGAUACUGGGAGUCUUGAGUUCGGAAGAGGUUGGUGGAACUGCGAGUGUAGAGGUGAAAUUCGUAGAUAUUCGCAAGAACACCGGUGGCGAAGGCGGCCAACUGGUCCGAAACUGACGCUGAGGCGCGAAAGCGUGGGGAGCAAACAGGAUUAGAAACCCCGGUAGUCC